GUCCACGCCGUAAACGAUGUCAACUAGCCGUUGGGAGGGUAAAACCUUUUAGUGGCGCAGCUAACGCGAUAAGUUGACCGCCUGGGGAGUACGCCGGCAACGGUAAAACUCAAAGGAAUUGACGGGGGCCCGCACAAGCGGUGGAGCAUGUGGUUUAAUUCGAUGCAACGCGAAGAACCUUACCUGGCCUUGACAUCCUGCGAACUUUCUAGAGAUAGAUUGGUGCCUUCGGGAAUGCAGUGA
rnacentral:rRNA from 1 species